CCACUGCUGAGGAGUCGCAUAAUAAGAUGAAACGACCGUCCAGUGC
rfam:Schistosoma margrebowiei strain Zambia genome assembly, scaffold: SMRZ_contig0000059